ACGUCAUGAAACAGUUUUGGAAAUUCGUGUCAGAGAAUUAAUGAAAAGUGCAUUGCGUCGUAGAAAGUGCCGCAUUUCAUAGGUUCAUCUUUUACAGUGUGGUGUUUCAGUGUUUGGUAAAAGUACGCUCUCUGCUUGGGCCUUGUUAGAUCAGCAGUUAUUACUGCUAGCAAACCGUUUUUUUUGCGGUCUGUAACUGCAAGUCAGUUCACGCCAGCAUUCCAUCUUGACGUUCCAAAAGCAUCUUGUUCAAAGCACUACUAAAUAGCUCUUCGGUGUCGCAAAUUGUCACUUCGUCGCACACUCUAUCAUAACCUGGGAAGGUUGAGAGAAUCUCAACUUUCCCCUUAGUCUGUGACUACAAGAAGUCACCAUUUCUUUUAGAAAACACGGUGAAUUGAGUUCCCGUACAAGAUGCGACCCGCUACUAGGAUCACUGCUUCCCUCUCAUUACGUGAAAUCAAGGGAGAAAAUGUUGAAGAGAAAGGACGGUCUCAUCUGGGCAGUUGCCCAGGUGUCCCAAAGAGGAAACAAUUCUGUGGGAGUACUGAAUUCAUCCUGCAAGGAGGUGAAAUCGACAAACCACUUUCAUGCAGUACCAAACGGCAUGAGCUACUUGGAACAAGAAGAACGUACGUAAACUUUUCUUUUCCCCCAUUGUGCACUUUAGAAAAAUUCAAAUUCUCUCUUGCUUCCUAAGUCUUCAUUUAACAGUCAUGAUAAUAUUUCAUGUCGCCCUCUGUGGACUAGUGGUUAGCGUGCUCGCCACUGGACCCAAGGUUCGCGGGUUGAAACCUGGCUGAGGGCGAGGGAUUUUUCAGGGUGAUAAAAAUCCAUAGCACAACUUCCUUCGGAGGGGAAGUAAAGCCGGCGGUCCCAUGUGGUAGGUUUACGGCGCGUUCAAGAACCUUACGAGCUUGAACGUGAUGUUUUGUGAGAAAAAUCAGUGGCGAUUUCUCACCCUAGUCUCUCCCGAUUCACUACUAGAUGGCUCUAGCGGACAAAAUCGGGAUCGAGUAGAAAUUGUGCAGAGUCAGUGGACUGGUCACUCACUACUCACAAAUGCACACUUCGAAAGACCAGGAAAUCUCCCACAUGGGAAGAGGUCAAGCCCC